AUUGAACGCUGGCGGCAGGCCUAACACAUGCAAGUCGAGCGGAUGAAGAGAGCUUGCUCUCUGAUUUAGCGGCGGACGGGUGAGUAAUGCCUAGGAAUCUGCCUGGUAGUGGGGGAUUACGUUCCGAAAGGAACGCUAAUACCGCAUACGUCCUCCGGGAGAAAGCGGGGGACCUUCCGGCCUCGCACUAUCCGAGGAGCCUCGGUCGGGUUAGCUAGUUGGUGAGGUAAUGGCUCACCAAGGCGACGAUCCGUAACUGGUCUGCGAGGAUGAUCAGUCACACUGGAAUUGAGACACGGUCCAGAAUCCUACGGGAGGCAGCAGUGGGGAAUAUUGGACAAUGGGCGAAAGCCUGAUCCAGCCAUGCCGCGUGUGUGAAGAAGGUCUUCGGAUUGUAAAGCACUUUAAGUUGGGAGGAAGGGCAUUAACCUAAUACGUUAGUGUUUUGACGUUACCAACAGAAUGAGCACCGGCUAACUUCGUGCCAGCAGCCGCCGUAAUAC
rnacentral:rRNA from 1 species